UGGGGAAUAUUGGACAAUGGGCGCAAGCCUGAUCCAGCAAUGCCGCGUGGGUGAAGAAGGUCUUCGGAUUGUAAAGCCCUUUCGACGGGGACGAUGAUGACGGUACCCGUAGAAGAAGCCCCGGCUAACUUCGUGCCAGCAGCCGCGGUAAUACGAAGGGGGCUAGCGUUGCUCGGAAUUACUGGGCGUAAAGGGCGCGUAGGCGGCCCAUCAAGUCAGGCGUGAAAUUCCCGGGCUCAACCUGGGGACUGCGCUUGAGACUGGCGGGCUAGAGGCCGAGAGAGGGUGGUGGAAUUCCCAGUGUAGAGGUGAAAUUCGUAGAUAUUGGGAAGAACACCGGUGGCGAAGGCGGCCACCUGGCUCGGUACUGACGCUGAGGCGCGACAGCGUGGGGAGCAAACAGG
rnacentral:rRNA from 1 species